rnacentral:misc_RNA from 1 species
AGCAGAGCCAGCUCAGUCAAAGGGCCUUCAAUAUCUGUGAGAGGUGGUGGAGUUAACCUGCCUGCAAAAACCCUAGCUCCCUGUGGCACGCCAAUAGAAACUCAGUAGAGCAUGUAUCCACUUGAUAAUGUUUGCCCAUGUGCAGGAUCGUCCUUAGAAUUUCUUUGGUACUAGUUGCCACUAAGAGUGAAAGAGCAAGAGAGGAGAAGGUGUUGCCCUCUGAUUAAUUUUUUCAAAUUUUAACUUGAGUCAUGUAUUUUAUUUAGUUCUUGAGCACAUGAGCUGAAGGGAAAAGAAAGAAAUACGGGAAAAAGAGAGCUACAAUGCAAGGAAGACUCUAAAAGGUUCUUUUUCUUUAGGAAAAAUUUCUUAGACGCAUUCAUUUACUCUCUUUUCCCACCCUCUCUUGGAGUUUCUGCUUGUUGUAAAUUAUGUGAAACAG